rnacentral:lncRNA from 1 species
GGCUGCAGCUGCAAACCUGCAAACUUCCUACUUCCAUGAAGACUCCAGAUGUUGAGACGAGGAAGCGAGGUUUUCACGUUGGCUUCCCAGCUGUUGCAACUCGGACUUUGCCUGCUGCUAUCGUCACAGUCAGCUUUUCACCAGGCCAAGGCAGAGAAACACGAUUUUUUGAAGGGAUGUGCUAACGGGAUUUUCAUCAGAUGGAAUUUCCUGCCUUUCUCAUAAACACCAUCACCGUGGAAAAUAUGACCACUUUUACCAUGUACCUGGGCAGAGUAAGAAAUGUAGUCAUUCUCUUCCCUCUCAUAUUUUUACAACUUGAUUUGCCUUCUAAUAUUGUGGGAAUAACACCUUAAUAGUCAAGAGGGUACAGGCAGAAGAGAGAACUAACAUAUGUUGAGCCCCUAGUACAGAGUUGACGUCCUGCUGGAUGCAUCUCAUGACAAUACUCACAACUCUGUUAGGCCAGUAUUGUUCCUCCCCAUUGUUUACAAUGAAGAAAAAGUAUUAAGCAAAUUAGGAGUUAAGCA